AGGUAAAGUGGCUGAAAAGGUGUUAAGUUGUAGCCUUAAUGAUGGAGGUUUAAACCCUCUCUGUACCAA
rnacentral:tRNA from 1 species